rnacentral:rRNA from 2 species
UUGUCGCGUCUGCCGCGAAAAUGCGAGGCUCAACCUCGGGCGUGCGGGGGGUACGGGCAGGAUAGAGUGCGGUAGGGGAGAUAGGAACUCCUGGUGUAGCGGUGAAAUGCGCAGAUAUCAGGAAGAACACCGAUGGCGAAGGCAGGUCUCUGGGCCAUUACUGACACUGAGAAGCGAAAGCAUGGGGAGCGAACAGGAUUAGAUACCCUGGUAGUCCAUGCCGUAAACGUUGGGCACUAGGUGUGGGGGACAUUCCACGUUCUCCGCGCCGUAGCUAACGCAUUAAGUGCCCCGCCUGGGGAGUACGGCCGCAAGGCUAAAACUCAAAGGAAUUGACGGGGGCCCGCACAAGCGGCGGAGCAUGCGGAUUAAUUCGAUGCAACGCGAAGAACCUUACCAAGGCUUGACAUGCACCGGACAGCCCCAGAGAUGGGGUCUUCUUCGGACUGGUGCACAGGUGGUGCAUGGUUGUCGUCAGCUCGUGUCGUGAGAUGUUGGGUUAAGUCCCGCAACGAGCGCAACCCUCGUUCCAUGUUGCCAGCGCGUUAUGGCGGGGACUCAUGGGAGACUGCCGGGGUCAACUCGGAGGAAGGUGGGGACGACGUCAAAUCAUCAUGCCCCUUAUGUCUUGGGCUUCACGCAUGCUACAAUGGCCGGUACAGAGGGUUGCGAUACUGUGAGGUGGAGCGAAUCCCAAAAAGCCGGUCUCAGUUCGGAUUGGGGUCUGCAACUCGACCCCAUGAAGUCGGAGUCGCUAGUAAUCGCAGAUCAGCAACGCUGCGGCGAAUACUUUCCCGGGCCUUGUACACACCGCCCGUCAAGUCACGAAAGUCGGUAACACCCGAAGCCAGUGGCGCAUCCCCUGUGGGUGAGCUGUCGAAGUGGGAUCGGCGAUUGGGACG